AUAAAGAAUACUGGGUCAAAUCAGUACUUGGUAUAUCAUAGUAAUAACAAAAUUCGUCAAUAAAAAAACGCUCGAAUACAUAAGAGGCAACUAAGCUGAUAACAUUGUAAAAAAAUACUGGCAAAAUGCCUAAAGACAAUACUGUGAGCCAAACUUUUUGACUAAUACCGUAUCCAUGUAGGAAACUAGCCGUAAAUAAUGCCAAAGGUACAACAUCGACGAUCUUGGAGUACCAGUCAUAAGAGAUCCUUAAGUACUUUGUAAUAUCAAUCGCUGAUGUGAUAAAUGGAGCUCCUGGAAGUAAUAUCGCUUAAAAAUAAUGUGCUUAUUAUUAUAUGUUAAUGUUAUUGGUGCUGCUAUAUUCACUAUAUGUUACAGCGUGAACUAAUUGUUUUCAAAUAGUGAAGCCAAAAAUAUUUUUUAAGAUGAAAUUUAUAAAAACAUUAUAGAACCUUCACAUUAUUAGAUAUGUAUUUGCGUUUAUUGAACAAAAACUUGUAGUGAAACAAAAAGAAUUAAAAGAUGAUAGUAUUUGAUUUCAAUUCUUAAAUAUGACAUGAAAAUAGACCAACACAGUUUUAAGAUUAACUGAAAAAUAGUUGGAACUUGCGAGAAAUAAUAUGAGUAACAGGUUUUUAAACUACUAUACUCUCUAAUUUUAAUAGGAAUAAUUGCUAAAGCUUAUAUUAAAGGGCCUGCAAAAACAAAUGUUAGUAAUAAAAUGUUUUAAUAAAAUGAAUAAAAUAAAUGUAUUAGAAUAAUGGUUUAGUAACUAUUAUGUUAUGUUUAAAAAGGAAUUUUAUAAUAUUAUUUUAGCAUUUGUAACUAAGAUACACACACGAAAAGUCCAAGCACUAUAUUUUCAAAAUCAUUAAAAUCUACAAACUUGUAUUAGAAACUACAGUGUACACAUAAAUUUCUACAUGAAAGCAAGUGAUACAGGAAGUUGAUAACAUGCAUAACGGACAAAAAGCAGCAUUAUGCAAAAUUAUUACAUUGCUAUAUGCAAAGCAUAAAUACCCAAUACCUAACACUUAAGUAAAAAUUUACAUAAAAACAAAAAUACUACUUUACUACUGCUAAAUAAUGUCUGUUAAACUGUUCAUUUUAUUAAAUGUGUUAUUUGAA